rnacentral:rRNA from 1 species
UACGAAGGGUGCAAGCGUUACUCGGAAUUACUGGGCGUAAAGAGCGUGUAGGCGGCCACGCAGGUCCGUUGUGAAAACUGAAGGCUCAACCUCCAGACGUCGACGGAAACCGUAUGGCUAGAGUCCGGAAGAGGAGAGUGGAAUUCCUGGUGUAGCGGUGAAAUGCGCAGAUAUCAGGAAGAACACCAAUGGCGAAAGCAGCUCUCUGGGACGGUACUGACGCUGAGACGCGAAAGCGUGGGGAGCGAACAGG